rnacentral:lncRNA from 1 species
CUAACUUCUUAUACAUGAAGAGGAGUGUAUUUCCCAUCAGGUGACCUGCUCCUUCUAGUUCGCUCUAGAUUUAAUUAAGAGAAAUAGCUCCUGUUUUCUUAUCCAGGGAAACCCAGGGACCAACAGGUUGUCCUGUCUGCAAACUCGGCGCAGCACUGCUUCUUCUGUGCUUGAACAGUUGUGCUGAAAAACAUCCGCAUUCACCAAAGUCAUCUCCUCAAAGAGGAACUCUCGCAAUGACGUGUUAAUAGCAGUGUUUUAUACAGCACAGCAAAUUUAGCCGAUCCCUAGAGCCACAACAAAUUUUGAUAUAUUCUGCCUCUCUUUCAUGGUGCUUAUCUGUUUGGUAUUUAACUUGCAACUUGUUAUCCAUUACUCAUGCUGUUUGCCAAUUUCUCUUCUGUUUUUCAUACCACUGUCAAAUUAACUUUUUACUGGAAUAUGCCUGGAAAAGGUAGGUGCAGCUCAAAAUAAACUGGUUUGUCAUUUGAAUUUCUCUUUGCCUGAGUGCUUUAUAGAACUUUGGCAUUUUAUAGAUUAUAAGUCACUUUAGUGCGCAGGAGGAUUUAC